UGAUUUGAGUUCAGACCGGUGAAAACCAGGUCGGUUUCUAUCUUUUUCAAAAUUUUUUAUUAGUACAAAAGGACCAUAAAAUCUAUUUUCAAU
rnacentral:rRNA from 1 species